rnacentral:sRNA from 1 species
ACAUAAGGCAGCUAUGGCGUUCCAUAAAAUUAACUACUGUAUUACAAUAUGUAUAGACACUGUGGCUGAGGGGAGUGAAUAAUUGGUUAAGUGCCCUGAGAGGACUGUUUUUGGCUGAGGUAAAAAGUUCUACAUAUGAUACACAUAGUUUACUUCCGUGCAAGCGGUCACAUGUCAACUUGGCGUCAGGUAAACUCGGCACGGGAAAGCUACACAUGACACUAGGCCCAUCGGCAACAUCGUUCACCAGUUCCAAAAUAUCCAACUUUUUGGCCUAACUCAGCGGACCAAAGAGGCUUUAAAAUUACAAUAUGUACAUGGAUAUUGAAUUUAUAAAUGUGUAUU